UAAAGGUACCCGUACCGCAAACCGACACAGGUGGGUGAGGAGAGUAUCCUAAGGCCAGCGAGAGAACUGUUGUUAAGGAACUCGGCAAAAUGACCCCGUAACUUAGGGAUAAGGGGUGCCACCAUCAGGUGGCCGCAGAGAAUAGGCCCAAGCGACUGUUUACCAAAAACAUAGGUUUCUGCUAAGUCGCAAGACGAUGUAUAGGAGCUGACGCCUGCCCGGUGCUGGAAGGUUAAGGGGAUCUGUUAGAGCAAUCGAAGCAGUGAACUUAAGCACCAGUAAACGGCGGCCGUAACUAUAACGGUCCUAAGGUAGCGAAAUUCCUUGUCGGGUAAGUUCCGACCCGCACGAAAGGCGUAACGAUUUGGGCACUGUCUCAACAACAGACUCGGUGAAAUUGUAAUUCCGGUGAAGAUGCCGGAUACCUGCGACAGGACGGAAAGACCCCAUGGAGCUUUACUGUAGCUUGACAUUGGGUCUUGGUACUACAUGUACAGGAUAGGUGGGAGGCUUUGAAACCAGGACGCCAGUUUUUGCGGAGCCAUCCUUGGGAUACCACCCUUGUAGUACUGGGACUCUAACCAUAG
rnacentral:rRNA from 1 species